GAUGAAGAACGUAGCGAAAUGCGAUAAGUAAUGUGAAUUGCAGAAUUCAGUGAAUCAUCGAAUCUUUGAACGCACAUUGCGCCCCUUGGUAUUCCGGGGGGCAUGCCUGUUCGAGCGUCAUUUCAACCCUCAAGCUCUGCUUGGUAUUGGGCUCCGUCCUCAGGGACGCGCCUCAAAGACCUCGGCGGUGGCGUCUUGCCUCAAGCGUAGUAGAAAACACCUCGCUUUGGAGUGCUGGGCGUCGCCCGCCGGACGAACCUUUGAAUUUUUCUCAAGGUUGACCUCGGAUCAGGUAGGAAUACCCGCUGAACUUAAGCAUAUCAAUAAGCGGAGGA
rnacentral:misc_RNA from 1 species